CCUCGAUCCCCUGUUCCGCCGCCGCCCGACCCGAGCGCUAGCCGCUGGCCGCAUCGCGGCCACAGGGAGGCCGUGCCGCCGCCGCUCGAGUCCACACCCAGUGUUGCAUCCGCUCGAUUCCAUACCUCCACCGGCCGCUCUAGUCCACAGCCCACGCCUCCUCCUAUAGCCGCUAGAAUCCACUCGUCCACCGUCCGCAGGAGCUGCCGCCGGAGUCCACGGACGGGAGACUGGGAGACGGCGGAAGAGCGGGAUUUCGCCUCCGCCGACCAUUACUUCGACGCUGGUUCUCCACAAUCUGGUGGCGGGCGCCGCUGUUUCUCCACGUCGUCAGAUCGAGCCAGCUGAGAUGCGUUGAGUCAGUUUAAAACUUCACAAAGUGUCAAUCGUGUCAUGGAGGCAUGCAUGCUAUAGGUUCAGACUGCAUGCUACAUGGAGGCAUGGAGGGGGUGGUCGGCUGUGUGCUUUGUGUUGGUACAAAACACCGUACUCUUUUCUGCUUGCUGGCUUUCUGCUGACUACUUAACCAACUUGCUUGGUGAUAUACUGCUGUGUGAGACCAUAUGUUGGUCAAAACUUAGUAUACUCUUAUAUUCAUGCUUGGUAAUUCGGUCAGCUGCGACACCACGUGCUUGUUUGGAACAUCAUUUUGUACUUUGGUCAACAACAGUUCAGAAUUGAGAUACA